rnacentral:rRNA from 1 species
AGAGUUUGAUCUUGGCUCAGAUUGAACGCUGGCGGCGUGCCUAACACAUGCAAGUCGAGCGGUAACAGGUGUAGCAAUACAUGCUGACGAGCGGCGGACGGGUGAGUAAUGCUUGGGAAUCUGCCUGUUAGUGGGGGACAACCCGGGGAAACUCGGGCUAAUACCGCAUACGCACUAUGGUGGAAAGCCGGGGACCGCAAGGCCUGGCGCUAACAGAUGAGCCCAAGUCGGAUUAGCUAGUUGGUAGGGUAACGGCCUACCAAGGCGACGAUCCGUAACUGGUCUGAGAGGACGACCAGUCACACCGGAACUGAGACACGGUCCGGACUCCUACGGGAGGCAGCAGUGGGGAAUAUUGGACAAUGGGGGCAACCCUGAUCCAGCGACGCCGCGUGGGUGAAGAAGGCCUGCGGGUUGUAAAGCCCUUUCGGUUGGGAAGAAAAGUUGCGACCUAACACGUUGCGACCUUGACGUAACCAACUAAAGAAGCACCGGCUAACUCUGUGCCAGCAGCCGCGGUAAUACAGAGGGUGCGAGCGUUAAUCGGAAUUACUGGGCGUAAAGCGCGCGUAGGCGGCUUUUCAAGUCGAUUGUGAAAUCCCCGGGCUUAACCUGGGAACUGCAGUCGAGACUGUCUAGCUAGAGUAUGGGAGAGGGAAGUGGAAUUUCAGGUGUAGCGGUGAAAUGCGUAGAUAUCUGAAGGAACAUCAGUGGCGAAAGCGACUUCCUGGACCAAUACUGACGCUCAUGUGCGAAAGCGUGGGGAGCAAACAGGAUUAGAUACCCUGCUAGUCCACGCCAUAAACGAUGAGAACUGGAUGUCGGAGGGUCUGCCCUUCGGUGUCGUAGCUAACGCGUUAAGUUCUCCGCCUGGGGAGUACGGCCGCAAGGUUGAAACUCAAAAGAUUUGACGGA